GACCGCGACUGUGCCACGUUGAAUGAACCAGUUCUCGUCCGAUCACGGAAAAUUAAGCGACGUUGGGUGUCCUCAGUACUUGGAUGUCCGACCGUCUGGGAGAUCACUUGCUGUUGGUA
rnacentral:rRNA from 1 species